UGACAGUUCGUUCCGGUGGGAAUCGCAAUGCUGCAGGUUUUUAGAGUUUCCAUGAGAGAACGUGGAUUUUGAUGAUUGCUGAUGUCAUGUUUGCAUCAUCCCACGCCGUGUCUUGAUUUCUCGUAUACCUUUUCGAUGCUGAUGGAAACAUUCAAAAUACGUGAUAAAAUGUGGAUAUUGCAGUGGUUUGUCUUUCGCCGAGAUUGCGUCUGCAAUCCUUCCGAAUCCUUUCCUGCUGAUGGCAAUGGGACCGAUCAAGGCACGUGCAAUCCGUUUUGUCAAAAUUGCAAGGACUUUCCAUACGCGUGUAGCAACGUGUCUUUGCCGAAGUUGCAUCUGCGAUGCUCUUGUAACCCUUCAUAGCGGUGGUCAUCUGGCAGUUCCGCCGUGGCUUUCGUAUGUGUAGCACGCGUUAUUUCUUGUUUCUUCCAAUAAAGUAUUUUUACAUAAUGGUAAGUUUUAAUAUAUCAUUUUGAAGUCGUUGUAGUGUGAUCGUGAGGGUUUGAUUUAAUUAUAAAGUUGUAUAGUUUUAUAUUUUGAGGUUAUCUUGUAUUCAUAAUGGCGUGCUAUGAAUUUUGGUUAUAUGAAUCUCGAUCAGUGAUUUUUAGUAUGCAAUCGCUAUUUCGGUAUUUUAGUUUAUUGGGGUUUUUAUCUUCUUUUGGUGAUUACAGGUUAUGUUGAGUCAUGGACACAAAAGCGUCCGCGCCUGUGCGAACUGUCGCAAGAGGAGGAAGAUAUGUGAAUGGUAUGAGAUGACGUGAUCGACGUGCGUGUGUGAAUAUGUGCGAAGGAUGAUGCUGAAGGGAC